GGGCCGGCUCUAGUUCAGCGGUUACUUCGUGGUUCUAACUUGUUGGAAACCCAGCCACUAGGGUUCGAGACCCGCGGGCGCUGCCCGGCCUUUUG
rnacentral:vault_RNA from 1 species